rnacentral:rRNA from 1 species
AAAAAAGGUAAGCUACUAAGAGCGAAUGGUGGAUGCCUUGACUGGUAAAGGCGAUGAAGGACGUACUAGACUGCGAUAAGCUACGGGGAGCUGUCAAGAAGCUUUGAUCCGUAGAUUUCCGAAUGGGGCAACCCAAUGUAUAGAGAUAUACAUUACCUAUAUAGGAGCGAACGAGGGGAAUUGAAACAUCUUAGUACCCUCAGGAAAAGAAAUCAAUAGAGAUUGUGUCAGUAGCGGCGAGCGAAAGCGCAAGAGGGCAAACCCAGUGCUUGCACUGGGGG